rnacentral:misc_RNA from 1 species
GAUGAAGAACGCAGCGAAAUGCGAUAAGUAAUGUGAAUUGCAGAAUUCAGUGAAUCAUCGAGUCUUUGAACGCACAUUGCGCCCCCUGGUAUUCCGGGGGGCAUGCCUGUCCGAGCGUCAUUGCUGCCCUCAAGCACGGCUUGUGUGUUGGGCCUCCGUCCUCCUCCCGGGGGACGGGCCCGAAAGGCAGCGGCGGCACCGCGUCCGGUCCUCGAGCGUAUGGGGCUUCGUCACCCGCUCUUGUAGGCCCGGCCGGCGCUUGCCGACACAUCAAUCUUUUCUCCAGGUUGACCUCGGAUCAGGUAGGGAUACCCGCUGAACUUAAGCAUAUCAAUAAGCGGAGGA